rnacentral:lncRNA from 10 species
GGAGGUGUUUCUUUACACACAAGUGCUCAUCAGUUCAUGUAUAUUUGCAGACCUCAGAGUUCUCUGCAUGUGCAACUGCCUCCUCUUUGAUACUCUUCCAACUAGACUGUUUUUGUUCAUUUCUAAACAAUUUUUGAGAUCCCUGGAAUCCUACUCUAAGAGGCAGGAUUCCAUGCAGUAGGGUUUCAUGACAUACUGUCAGGAAAGAAGUGUGGGAGGCGUGACUGGGAAUGUGUUACAACUGACUGCUCAGCUAGAAGGCAUUUCAAGGUCAUUCUAAAUUAAAAUAUGGCUUUGGGAUUAAGGCAUCAGGUAGUUAUUGCUCCUGAACUACAUUCUGAAGGAGGCACAUCUUUGCAUGAAGCCGUUCUUUGCACUCAAAGGCAUUUUUUGGUGGGGAAUUGCUGUGUGAAGCUGGGAUGCCAAGGGAUGCCACAGUGCUCACUAGAAAAGACUUUCCUGUUCAGAACAUCAGGAUGCAUGGAGCUGGGGCUUGAGGGUCUCAGUUAAACAUGGGGAGUUCAGACCAAUAAUCCAGGGCAUUUGGGCCACAAAGUACAGGCAUUGUGUUAGAUCCAGUCACCACACAAGAGGAACUCCAGGGAUCAUGACCACUCAACAGCUGCCCAUCUCCUUCUUGUGGUCCUUCCAUUCAGGUCAUCUUGAGGCAAGGCACACUCAGUCUAAACAACAGCAGAACAGCCUGGUCCUUCAAGCCUCACAUCAUCCUGACCCACCUUCUGCAGAGCCUACCUGGAGGAAUGGAGGGAAAGGCAGCCUGGAGGUCUCAGAUGCAGGUGAACUGGGCCAGCCCUGUUUAUGGCUUUGUUCACAGUCCUGCUGGGGCUGGAGAGAGAGGAUGACACAGAUAGUGAAGGGGUUUCUGUCUCACUUCCCCAUCUGUCUGUGUCAAUGUGAGAUGGUUACCACUGCUGUCCCGGGAGUUACAGUAAUAGUCAGCCUCAUCUUCCGCCUGAGCCCCAGUGAUGGUCAAGGAAGCUGUGUUUCCUGAGCUGGAGCCAGAGAAUCGGUCUGGGAUCCCUGAGGGCCGGUUGUUUUUACCAUAGAUGACAAGUACAGGGGCCUGUCCUGGCUUCUGCUGGUACCAGCUUGCAUAAUAGCUUCUGAGGCUGUCUCCUUGGCAUGUGAUCCUGACUGUCUGUCCCAAGGCCACAGACACAGCAGGGUCCUGAGUCAGCUCAGAAGAAACCACAGAACCUGCAAAAGAGGACAGAAGAGGUGAGGAUAAGGGUUUCACGCCUAGAGUCCCACACCCUACACUACUCCCUGUGUUGAGCCGAAGCUCAGGGCCAGGUUGGCACAGCUAGCAUGAUAAUAUGGGGUUGAGCCCUGGGAGGCAGCACCUAUGCAAAGAGUGAGGAGAGUGAGCCAGAGAGGGGUCCAGGCCAUGGUGGAGACACCCCAGAACUCUGCUUCUGAGCCCACAGCUAAGGAGGAACCUCCAGGCCUCUCUUAUCAUAGGAAGGGAAGUCUCUUCAUGCAAAUCUACUUCCUUUAUUCUUGUGUCGUCGUUAGGUGGCUCUGGUGAGCAGUGGAUGCAAAUCUGUUCUCCAUUCCCUAAAACAUUUGUCCUGGUUCUUGUCUGAGCCCUGAGCCUGAUGGCCUUCUCUGAGUAAUUUCUCAAGAUCAGAAGAAGGGCCAAGUGCAUUUUCAGAUUUACCCACUAGAAGGGGCCUCAUAGGAAGCAACAGUCAGGCUCUUCGCCCUUGAGCAUUACUAGGGGCUUGGACUCAUUAGGGGCCUCAGACUAAAC